GCCAAUCAGAUCUCGAGUCAGUGCCACCAAGGCCAGCUAGAAGGCCUUACGCUGAUUGAUGAAACUGAAACACACAGAGAAACUGAAGUCUUCCUGAGCAAAGAAAGGAGCAUGGAUUUUAUUAUCAAAUAAGCAGGCACUGUGGAGGAGCUCCGUCUUGGUGAGUGCAAGCAUUUUAUUUUUAUUUUAUCUCUUAAAAUCACCUUUUAUUUUGGACUUUGACAGUAUCUGUGACCUUAGUUUCCCACACUUCCCACACUUAUUUUAAAAUGUACAAACAUUAGAGAACCAUGCUGCCGAAAGCAGCCGAGUGAUGAAGCAACCGUGGCCCAAAUGUGUAUAAAAGCAGCAACGUCUUCAGUCAACCUUCAGACGAAACCUGACAAGAGUCACCAGGAGAGCCAACGGACUUGAACUCAAACCGUCUGAAGAUGAAGCCUAUCAGCGUUGCAGUGGCAGUGGCUGUUGUGCUCACUGUUGUGUGCAUUCAGCAGAGCUCUGCUAUGUUCUUUGAGGGACAGGACCUGGAGGUGGAAAUGAAGAACGACCAUUCCCUUGGGGAACAGGAGCAGGAGUCUGCAAUGGGCCACACCACGAUGGUGUACAGUUAUGACCCAAAACAAGUUACGUGUCGCUAUUGCUGUGGAUGCUGCUUCAUGCCUCAGUGUGGAGUAUGCUGCACGAAAGUAAUCCAAGAAUCCAAAACACACAUCUAAAUGUUAUUUAAAAAAAAUCUAUGCAAUAUUUCACCAAUGCAUCUUGCUCUACUCACAUUUUUUGUGACUCAAAUUUAGAAGUAAUAAAAACAAAUGUUUCUAAU
rnacentral:lncRNA from 1 species